UUAAUAGUAAAGUCUGCUCAAUGAAAUUUUCAAUAGCCGCAAUUCGUGCUAAGGUAGCAUAAUCAUUUGUCUUUUAAAUGAGGACUAGAACAAAAGACUUAACAUUUUUAUUUAUUUAUUUUAUUUAUAAUUCAAUUUAUUUUAAGUGUAAAAAAACACUUAUUUUAUAGAAAGACGACAAGACCCUAUUGAACUUAACUUUAGUUUWACUGGGGCAGUUAAUUAAUAAUUAUUUUAAUAAACUUAUUUUAWUAAAUAUCCUUUAACAUAGAAAUUACUCAGUUACCAUAGGGAUAACAGCGCAAUUGUAUUUUUGAGCACUUAUCUAAAAUUCAGUUUACGACCUCGAUGUUGAAUUAAUAACCUAUUUUAAGCAAAUUUUUAAAAAGGAAGUCUGUUCGACUUUUAAUUAAUUACAUGAUUUGAGUUCAGACCGGUAUAAGCCAGGUCGGUUUCUAUCUUCUAAAUAGUUUUUUACAGUACGAAAGGACCUAUUAAUAUAAUCUUCAUUAUUAAAUUGGCAGAAAAAUGCAUUAGAAUUAGAAUCUAAUCAAACUAAAA
rnacentral:rRNA from 1 species